CUUUUUCUUUUCUCGUAGUGUGACUCUAUUGUCCUGCAGUACAAGCAUAGAAAGAAACACAUUCAUUGAGGACAAAAAUACAGCAUAUGCGGAGUACGUUGCAUUUUAUCAUCCAAGCCUUACCACAGACAGCUAAGCUACUAGUAAAAGUAACAAAGCGGCUUGAAGUACAGCAAUGAGGCUAUGCGAUGAGACAAAAGGAAGCAAUACUAAAGGAGCGAUUACAUAUUUUGCAUGCAAGAUGCUCAGCAACUUCAGCAAAGUUCCAUAGCACGGGCUGAUGCUAGUGCAGAAAGAUGGCAUAGCACGCUGAGCACCCUUAUUACAGAGAGCCACUAGAGGGACUGUAAUCAGAACUCUGAUACCGUACUUGCUCAAAUGAAAUGGAACCUUCACCACCUCGAUGAUUUGUGAAAUGUGCUUUGUACGAAUAAACUCCUAUGUGCUUAUA